AUAUUAAUCCAGUUACCCUUAGAUAUAGAAAGAAAAUCGAGAAAGCCACAGGACAUAAACUCAUUUUUAACAGAAGGAACAUCUUGUUUAAUCUUUUGUGUAGCGACAGGGAUGGAAUGGACCGGUCAUCCAUCCCAGUCGUUUGCGGGGUUCCCGCAGUGGAUGGGGAUUGCAAACAGGAUCUGAGGUGCAUGGGAUAUACAUCGAGAUCACUUCAAGAAUUAGUGAACACUGGCGAGAUAUUGAUGGUGGUGCAAUGUCUGCAUCUUUGGCGCAGGGGGCAGUUUCCUCUGAAUUGUCGGUGGGGUGGAGCGGGGCCAAGGUGGUGUUUG
rnacentral:lncRNA from 1 species